UUUGCCUACGGGGGGCAGCAGUGGGGAAUAUUGCACAAUGGGGGAAACCCUGAUGCAGCAACGCCGCGUGAGUGAAGAAGUAUUUCGGUAUGUAAAGCUCUAUCAGCAGGGAAGAAGAAAGACGGUACCUGACUAAGAAGCCCCGGCUAACUACGUGCCAGCAGCCGCGGUAAUACGUAGGGGGCAAGCGUUAUCCGGAUUUACUGGGUGUAAAGGGAGCGUAGACGGCAGUGCAAGUCUGGAGUGAAAGGCGGGGGCUCAACCCCCGGACUGCUCUGGAAACUGUACGGCUGGAGUGCAGGAGG
rnacentral:rRNA from 1 species